rnacentral:rRNA from 1 species
UACGUAGGGGGCAAGCGUUGUCCGGAAUCAUUGGGCGUAAAGAGCGUGUAGGCGGCCAGAAAAGUCCGCUGUGAAAACUCGAGGCUCAACUUCGAGCUGUCGGUGGAAACUUUCUGGCUAGAGUCCGGAAGAGGAGAAUGGAAUUCCUGGUGUAGCGGUGAAAUGCGCAGAUAUCAGGAAGAACACCCGUGGCGAAGGCGGUUCUCUGGGACGGUACUGACGCUGAGGCGACGAAAGCCCAGGGGAGCAAACGGG